UGCUGCCAGGUGUGCAUCUCCAUGACCCCAGCGUGUGCCCUCGGGCAGGCAAGCUCCUUAGCCUCUCUGUGCCUUAUCUUCCUCAUCUGUCAGAAGGGGCUCUAAAAAUGAGUUAACUUACACUGCAUGCUUAGAGUGGUAGCAGACACUCAAAUAUAUUUACCAUUGAAAAAAAUUAUUCUCAGCAUCUCAGCAAAGAGUAAAUAUUUCCUAAAUGAACGUCUGAGUGAAUUAUUGUCGGAUUCUUAUACCCCCUGAGUCACCCCCUGCAACGUUUGCUAGCGAGCUGGCGCGUUCACGGUGGUGGUGAAGCGAACAUCUAAUGUUAGCAGACUUGUGUUCUGGUCCCAGACCUGCUGCUAACUGGACAUAGGCCCUUAGGUGAGUCAUUCACCCUUUGUAACCCUUGGUUCCAAAUCUUCAAAUAUGGCAAUCAGUGGUUCCUUUUAGAUCUACAAUGCUGACCCAGUCCUCAACACCUGCCUGCUUUUGGUGUCAGGUGGACAGGAGGGAGCCUGCCUGCAGGUGCCGGCCAGAAGCCUGCAGAACAGAUCGCCAAGACUGGUCUCUGAACGUUCCUUCCAGAAACACAGAUGCAAUGGUCGGCUUGUUGGGCUAGGAGCAGGAAAGCAGAAAGUGGAGUCAGCAACCCACCUUCAGAUGGACAGACCGGCACCUCUGUUUCCAGCUGAACAACUCUGGGCCAAUCACCGACCCCCAGCUGCCCAAGCCUGAGCUUUUCUGUCUGUAAAAUAAAAAUCAAAAGAAGACCUUUCUGACGGCA
rnacentral:lncRNA from 1 species